rnacentral:rRNA from 1 species
GUUUUUCGCUCUAAGAUAAGCCCGCGUGAGGUUAGCUAGUUGGUGAGGUAAUGGCUCACCAAGGCAACGAUCUCUAACUGGUCUGAGAGGAUGAUCAGUCACACUGGAACUGAGACACGGUCCAGACUCCUACGGGAGGCAGCAGUAGGGAAUAUUGCACAAUGGAGGAAACUCUGAUGCAGCGACGCCGCGUGAGUGAUGAAGGACUUCGGUUCGUAAAGCUCUGUCGUAUGGGAAUAAGAAAGUG